rnacentral:lncRNA from 1 species
AAAUAAAACAAACAAUAACAACAACAACAAAUUAGAUCAACUCAUUGUUGUGGAGAUUCUGGCUUCCAAAAAUCCUGCUGACUGCAGCACAGCUGAUGAUGUCAUGACAUCAUCACAGCAGAACUGAAAUUCCUACUGAAAUUACACUUCACGACAAACAAGACAUGAGCCAAGAACGCCAUUCACUGUGUUUUCCCACAAAUAAAUGCUACAAUGUCCUGUGAGAACUUUGUAUGUGCUUUUAGAGACAUGGGAAUCAUUUGACAGUAUUUACUUUUCUAGUUGAGCUCAUUAUAUAGAAAUAAAAAAUUAAAGGAACAAGA